AAAAAGGUUAACAAUUUGGAUCAUUUUGGAAGAUACAUACGCCGCGCUUUUCAAAGCGGACAGACGUGCCCUUGUCCAACUGAAACGAACACACGUGUCCUGUUGAACUUGAAAAAAGACGAAAUUAUUUUAAAAAGAUCAUGGUAACUCGUGAAGCAACAUCUCAGAAUUGAAUCGGGGAGUUGUGUAUUUGCUGGCAAUCCGGGCCUGCUUGGAUCAUUUUGGAAGAUACAUACGCCGCGCUUUUCAAAGCGGACAGACGUGCCCUUGUCCAACUGAAACGAACACACGUGUCCUGUUGAACUUGAAAAAAGACGAAAUUAUUUUAAAAAGAUCAUGGUAACUCGUGAAGCAACAUCUCAGAAUUGAAUCGGGGAGUUGUGUAUUUGCUGGCAAUCCGGGCCUGCUUGGAUCAUUUUGGAAGAUACAUACGCCUGCGCUUUUCAAAGCGGACAGACGUGCCCGUGUCCCACUUGACAAAGGCGGAAUUAUUUUAGGAAAGGUAUAUUAUUUGUAAAAAAAAAAUAUACAAUUUUUAAGUAACAUAUUUGACAGACCAUGGCAACUAGUAAAGCAGAAUCCGAGAAUUCAAUCGGCGGCUGUAUGUUGACUGACAAGAAUAUAAUUGCUGUUAAUCCGGCCCUGCUUCUUGUACAAAUGCAUAGUGGGGAGACAUGAACAUUUUUCGAAAAUGCGGCCCUAUCCUCUUGGGAUUCUACGUUGGACAAAUUCUGAAA